GCCGGAGAGUUGUAGCUGGCCCCAGGGCAUGUGCACGCUCUCUUCCGGACUUUCGCCGUAUGGGCGCGGGGCGACCCGCGUCUUCAUAUACCUCUUCGUGUAGAAAGUCUUUGAAUGUUAUUACCAUCAUCGAGUCGCGACUUCUAGGAGACGCGAUUCUUUGAGACAAAAGUUAUUACAACUUUCAGCAACGGAUCUCUUGGCUCUCGCAUCGAUGAAGAACGCAGCGAAUCGCGAUAUGUAAUGUGAAUUGCAGAUCUACAGUGAAUCAUCGAAUCUUUGAACGCACCUUGCGCUCCUCGGUGUUCCGAGGAGCAUGCCUGUUUGAGUGUCAGUAAAUUCUCAACCCCUCUCGAUUUGCUUCGACAGGGUGCUUGGAUGUUGGGGGCUGCCGGAGACRCUGGACUCGUCCAGGACUCGGGCUCCUCUUAAAUGAAUCGGCUUGCGGUCGACUUUCGACUUUGCAUGACAAGGCCUUUGGCGUGAUAAUGAUCGCCGUUCGCCGAAGUGCAAGACAGAACGGUCCCGUGCCUCUAAUGCGUCGACGCCUCUCGGGGCCGUCUUCCUCAUUGACGUUUGACCUCAAAUCAGG
rnacentral:rRNA from 1 species